AUCACAUCCUGUCUACUGUCUGCUGUACACAUUGGGGUGUCACCCCAGGACUUUGUGUAAGAUCCCCGUGUCCAGUGAACUCUCCAUGCCUCUGUCACUGUCUCCAGGCUUUUUGUUUGGUCCCGAGGCUGGGCAACUACAAGACUUGUGGGCCUGUGGGGUGCAAUACAACAGAAGUGAAGUGAAGUGAAGUGAAAGUCGCUCAGUUGUGUCCGCCUCUUUGUGAUCCCAGGGACUAUAUAGUGAUCCCAUGGAAUUCUCCAGGCCAGAAUACUGGAGUGAGUAGCCAUUUCCCUCUCCACAGGAUCUUCCCAACCCAGGAAUCCAACCGGGUCUCCUGCAUUGCAGGCAGAUUCUUUACCAACUGAGCAUCAGGGAAGCCCCAAUACAACAGAGGUCCUAAAGGAGCUGCCAUUUGGGAUCGGUCUGGUUUUCUGUUGGUCCUGUAAUGUACACUAUUUCCAAGAGGCCCCUAGAUGUGUGGAAAGUCAGGUGUAUGAUAAAUAAAGUGAUAAGUGAAGCACUUUCCUCGGAUGCACGCAUACAGUACUGCCACAUACUGGAAGGAUUUCUAUGAGAAAACAGAUUGGCGGAGACAUUUGACCUCCUCUCCGCUCCAUCAUUUUCUGCUCCCUUUUGUUCUCUGUCCUUUCAGUUCCUCCUCAUUAGAGCCUCUGGCUCUCUCAUUUUGUGUUUCCAUCAUUUGACAUUGAAUUCACCUUUCCUUUUGACAGGACCCGCUGC
ensembl:lncRNA